AUGGAAGAUCUCUUUCUCUCUCUCUCAUUCCUCUGUCCAAGUGACACAAACAGGACUCUGCGUCCACACCCUCCCUGGCCUUACCCCUCCACUGCCCAUGCCUGGGCUCACUUCGCCCCACAGGGAGGCUGCUUCAGUGUUGCUAUGACAAAUGCUGCCCUGGGUGAGGCUGCACUGCUGACAGUUUGCAAAGCAGUGUCACCUAGCGUUCAACGCCUCCGUGUGCUGGCUCUGUGCUCUUGUUUCCAGUGGCAGAGAUGCAGAUGUGACGAGAUAACAGGAAGCCAGGGGCAGACCAGGUGUGGCAAAGGCACUGACAAAUCAGAGACGGGAGACACCACUGUGCACUCUGUCGCCAAAAGCUGCCACCAAGAAGAGGAAAAACCUGGAGAGGAACAAGAGGAAGCCUGGGGAAUUUUGCAAAAUCCUACAUCGUCUGUUUAUUGCCUGGUAUUUUUCCAGUGCAGUGGGACUGCAUUCUGAUAUGAGAUAUUAUCCAGUCACAGGUCCCUGAUGAAAAUCAAAUUGCCCCUUCCUCAGCUCUUGGGCCCCGAGUUUCAAAUAUUUCCCUGAAGAUAAGUCUCCAAUAUCCAGCUUACUGUUGAAUUUCUCACUCUGGCAUUGUGCAUAGCAGGUUAAGCUAGUGCCUGUGACCAAGGCCACAUCCCGUAUGAGCAGAGGUUCCCGUACCAGCUGCUCCACUUCCAGUCCAUCUCCCUGCUAAUGCACCUAGGAAGGCAGAUGGAAGAUGGCCCAAGUGCUUGGGCCCCUGCCAUCUACGUGGGACACAUAGGUGCCCUUUCUUCUCACAUGGACCCAUGCAGCAGCUUCCCCACUAAUUUUUUAUUUGAAAGUUAGAGGUACAGAGAGAGAGAGAAGGAUCCUCCACCUGCUGGUUCACCUCCCAAAGGACCCCAAAGGCCAGGGCUGGGCCAGGCUGAAGCCAGCAACCAGGAGUUUCUUCCAGGUGUCCCACGUGGGUGCAGAGGCCCAAGCACUUGGGCCGUCUUCUUCUGCUUUCCUAGCAGCAUUAGCAGGGAGCUGGCUGGGAAGUGGAACAGCCAGGACUCGAACUGGUGCUCCUAUGGUUUGCUGGCAUCUCAGGCAGCAGCUUGACCCACUGCUCCACAACACUGGCCCCCUCCCGACUCUUCUAUCUGCUUCUAGUCUCUUGCACUCCUAGCACACUUCCUGUGUGCCACUUUCUGCUUCACAAACCCCAGUCAUUUCCCAGGAUCUCGUAAGGUGAAGCUUCCCAAGUUGGACCCCAGGCUUGCCACAGUUUGGAUCCUGCCCUCCUUCUCAGCUUGGCCUUUGAAGCCCCAGGCCAGCUCUCAUAGUUAUGGUGCCCUGCCUGCCCCAGUCUACCCGAGGACUGCUUCAAAUGCUGUCCUCCCCCCCACACCAAAAACCGUCCUCAGAAAUCCCAGCCACUCUUCUUUCUAGGCUUUUCUGCGGUGUGAACACAUUCAGUUUUGCACCA
rnacentral:lncRNA from 1 species